UACUUAGCGUGGAAGCGUUAAUCGGAAGUACUGGGCGUAAAGCGUGCGCAGGCGGGUUUGUAAGUCGGAUGUGAAAUCCCCGGGCUCAACCUGGGAAUUGCAUUGGAGACUGCAAGGCUAGAAUCUGGCAGAGGGGGGUAGAAUUCCACGUGUAGCAGUGAAAUGCGUAGAGAUGUGGAGGAACACCGAUGGCGAAGGCAGCCCCCUGGGUCAAGAUUGACGCUCAUGCACGAAAGCGUGGGGAGCAAACAGG
rnacentral:rRNA from 1 species